CAUCGCUGAGCAAGAAAUGUACACCUUCCUCGCUAGAGCGAUGCAGCGCUUCACAAUUGAUUACAAGUAUGAAGACAUUGAAGUUGUGUGUCGCCUGGUGUUUUCCUCUGCUACACCACUCAAGUUCAGCGUCACGGAGAGGCGCUGACUCCACUGUAAGAGACGCUGACCAACUGCUGUCAGAAACGCUGAUUCAACAACUACGACAUUUUCAAACUUGAAGUGUUAUUUUUACUCGAUAUUUUUUUUUUAUAAAAUUACUAUGUACUUUU